rnacentral:rRNA from 1 species
GACGAACGCUGGCGGCGUGCCUAAUACAUGCAAGUCGAACGAGAGCGACCGGUGCUUGCACUGGUCAAUCUAGUGGCGAACGGGUGAGUAACACGUGGGUAACCUGCCCAUCAGAGGGGGAUAACAUUCGGAAACGGGUGCUAAUACCGCAUAGUUCCUUUAACCGCAUGGUUGAAGGAUGAAAGAAGGCCCAAGCUUCUGCUGUAGAUUGGACCCGCGUUGCAUUAGCUAGUUGGUGAGGUAACGGCUCACCAAGCCCGGGAUGCAUAGCCGACCUGAGAGGGUGAUCGGCCACAUUGGAACUGAGACACGGCCCAAACUCCUACGGGAGGCAGCAGUAGGGAAUCUUCCGCAAUGGGCGCAAGUCUGACGGAGCAACGCCGCGUGAGUGAUGAAGGUUUUCGGAUCGUAAAACUCUGUUGUUAGAGAAGAACAAGUGCUAGAGUAACUGUUAGCGUCUUGACGGUAUCUAACCAGAAAGCCACGGCUAACUACGUG